AUGCCCCCGCCGCGGCAGCCCUACCGCCGGCCCGCCCCCGCCCCGGCCCCGGCCCCGCGCCCGUCCAAUGCGCCCGCGCCCGCGCCGCCGCAGCGCGGCCCUCGGGACCAGGAGGAGCUCGAGGCGGCGAUCUACGACUUCAUGCGCCGCUCCGACAAGCCCGGCGCGUUCCCCACCCGCGCCGAGCUCCUCGCCGCGGGGCGCGCCGACCUCGCCGCCGCCGUCGAGUCCAGCGGAGGCUGGCUCUCCCUCGGAUGGUCCUGGUCCUCCGACGACGACGCGCGACGGCCGGCUGCGUCAACGGCCGGCCCCGGCGUGCACCCUGACUACCCGCCCGAGGCGGGUGCCUCUGGCCGAGCGCCGAAUGCGACGGCGGAUUCCGUAAGGGAGCAGCAGGAACCCACGCCGUCUGGGAGGCAGCCAGAGACGGAGGAGACACAGGAGGCAGGGUCUGGGGCAGGCCUGGAGGGGAUGCUCACCAGGCUGCGGAGAGAGAGGGAGCGUGCGCGGCCACCGCCACGCAGCAAGAAUCGAGCGGGAGGGCAAGGUCAAAAUGGCGCUUUAAUGAACCAUAAUGGAGCUCCUAGUCGAAGUCCAACUGAUGGCAUGUACACUCGAAGGAUACCUGUGAAUGGAAAUAUACAUCGCUCUCAUUCUCAAAAUGGAAUACCAGAGGACAACAAAUCAAGUAGUUCAGCCAAUGAUGCAUGGCGAACAUGGUCUCUUGACAAGAGUCGGUUUUCUGAUUUUGAAGCCGCUGAGAUCCAUCCUUUGAGCAGAAAACCACCAAAACGUGCUGACCUGGACACUGUGUUGAUAGAAGAUGAUGUUCCCGGACCAUCUAAUGGUGUGGUUAUAAAUGAUUAUCCUAGUGAUCAUGUAGACUCUGAAAGAGAUGAGAUACAUGCACGUUUUCAAAAUUUGGAAUUCGAUCUUGCAGAUUCUCUUAAGACAUUAAGAUCAAGAUUUGAUGGAGUUUCGUCAUAUAUGUCAAAUGGCGAAGAAGCAGAUGUGGUAAAUGGGUUCUCUGAUGAUUGGGAAUUUGAAGAGACAAAAGUAAUGCAUGCCCAGGAAGAAUUACGGACAAUCCGUGCUAAAAUAGCAGUAUUAGAAGGCAAGGUGGCGCUCGAAAUAAUUGACAAGAACAAAAUAAUUGAAGAAAAGCAAACGAGGCUUGAUGAAGUUGAGAAGGCUUUGAGUGAGCUCCGCACAGUAUCUGUUGUAUGGCCCAAUCCUGCUUCAGAAGUUCUAUUGACCGGUUCUUUUGAUGGGUGGACAAGCCAAAGAAGGAUGGAACAAUCAGAAGGAGGCAUUUUUUCGUAUAACCUGAGGUUGUAUCCUGGUAGAUAUGAGAUUAAAUUUAUUGUUGAUGGUGUUUGGAAGAACGACCCGCUGCGCCCUACUGUGAACAACAAUGGGAACGAAAACAACCUUAUGAUUGUCACUUGA
rnacentral:rRNA from 1 species